rnacentral:rRNA from 1 species
AUCUCUGUAGAGUCUGCAUAUCAAUAAGCGGAGGAAAAGAAACUAACAAGGAUUCCCUUAGUAACGGCGAGUGAAGCGGGAAGAGCUCAAAUUUGAAAUCUUCAAGGUUCUACCUUGACGAAUUGUAGUUUAAAGAAGUGUUUUCUGUUAGAUGAGUAGCAAAAGUUCCUUGGAAUGGGACAUCAUAGAGGGUGAGAAUCCCGUAUUUGGUUAUUCAUUCUAGCUUUGUGAUACACUUUCAAAGAGUCGGAUUGUUUGGGAAUGCAGUCCAAAAUGGGUGGUAAAUUUCAUCUAAAGCUAAAUAUUGGCGAGAGACCGAUAGCGAACAAGUACCGUGAGGGAAAGAUGAAAAGAACUUUGAAAAGAGAGUUAAACAGUACGUGAAAUUGUCAAAAGGAAGCGUUUGACACCAGUGUUGUUUUUCCGAAAAUCAAUUACGAAUGGCUUGAUUCUGUGUUGUAUUGACCUUAUCAGCUUUCUUCACUUUUUUCGAGUCUUUCUUAAUGCACUUUUCGGUUAACAAGUCAACAUCAAUUUCUUUUGUUGUGAAAGAGUAUUCGGAAGGUGGCUUUCUUUUCGGAGAAAGUGUUUAUAGCCCUAUACUUCUACAAUCGGAGAGAUUGAGGUCUGCAGCGUAGAUCCUUCGGGGUUAGAUACACUUGUGCUAAGUUGUAGCUUUUCAUAGACAACUUGUUGACUAUGUUUAGUCAUGCGGCUUACUCGCUUGUGCUAUUUUACCUACGCUUAGGAUGUUGACGAGACUGUCGAUCUC